AAAGACUUAGUCCUAACCUUACAGUUAGUUCCUACUAGAUUUAUACAUGCAAGUAUCUGCGCGCCAGUGUAAAUGCCCUUGACCCCUUAUUAAGACUAGAGGUGUAGGCAUCAGGCACACUCUCAGUAGCCUAAGACGCCUUGCUCAGCCACACCCCCAUGGGUAUUCAGCAGUAAUUAACAUUAAGCAAUUAGCGCAAGCUUGACUUAGCCAUAGUAGACCAGGGUUGGUAAAUCUUGUGCCAGCCACCGCGGUCACACAAGAGACCCAAAUUAACUGUAUCCGGCGUAAAGAGUGGCCCAUCAUCUAUCGCCCUUCGCUAGGGUCGAAGCGUAUCUAAGCUGUUAUAAGCCCAAGACACACCUAAGCCCAAUAUAAACACAACCCAAGCCAUCAGCGACCAACUAUCCGCCACGAAAGCCAGGGGACAAACUGGGAUUAGAUACCCCACUAUGCCUGGCCCUAAAUCUAGAUGCUUCCUUCCACCAAAGCAUCCGCCUGGGAACUACGAGCACAAACGCUUAAAACCCUAAGGACUUGGCGGUACUCCAAACCCACCUAGAGGAGCCUGUUCUAUAAUCGAUAACCCACGCUACACCCAACCCCUCCUUGUCUAAACAGCCUAUAUACCGCCGUCGCCAGCCCACCUCAUAUGAGAGCACGACAGUGAGCACAAUAGCUCCACCCGCUAAGAAGACAGGUCAAGGUAUAGCCUAUGGAGGGGAAGAAAUGGGCUACAUUUUCUAUCUUAGACCACCAACGAAAAGGGGUCUGAAAUUUUACCCCUGGAAGGAGGAUUUAGCAGUAAAACAUGACUAUAAUGCUUGUUUUAAACUGGCCCUGGAGCACGUACAUACCGCCCGUCACCCUCCUCGCAAGCAACACCACUUAUAAAUUAAUAUCACAACUAGCUGAAGAUGAGGUAAGUCGUAACAAGGUAAGUGUACCGGAAGGUGCACUUAGCAUAU
rnacentral:ncRNA from 1 species